rnacentral:lncRNA from 1 species
UUAAACACCGGUGCUCCAGUAAAUGUAAUUUUGGAAGCAUCAACUGCAGCAGAAAAGAAAACCGCUGAUUACAAAUCUCUUCAUGCGCAAGAAAAUGUCUCUUCAUCUCCCAGUCCCUCUGCCAUGGGAAGGCACCACCACUCCCCUAACCCCACCUGGAGCUGCAUGGGUUUCACCUGCUGAGCUCCUCAGGGAGGAAUUACUUCAUUGAGUUUGUGACCUCCAAGCAGUAAAUAGAGGGAGAGAAGAGGACACAUUUCCCUGCCUGAUUCUUCUGAAGAUGGAAUAACGAUGGAUGAGAACUCCUUGUACAGCAAGGAAAGAAGAUUUUGGUGCUUUUCUCUGAAAAAUCUCAUUACAGUUUCAGCUAAAAAGUUUAAAAUGCAUUGUGCAAUUUGUGUUUCUAUAAUGAGAAAUUUAAGAUGAUGAGGCUGAUAAUAUGAAGUUGCAGAGUAUCACAGGAAGAAUGAAGAGGUCCUGGCAUGAAAGGUUUGACACAGAUCCUAUCAGAUUCCCAUUUAUUAAUAAACUAUU